rnacentral:rRNA from 1 species
CGCAUCUGUGCAUGCAGCAUAUCAAUAAGCGGAGGAAAAGAAACUAACAAGGAUUCCCCUAGUAACGGCGAGUGAAGCGGGAAGAGCUCAAAUUUGAAAUCUUAAAGGGUUUCCCUUUACGAAUUGUAGUUUUAAAGAAGUGUUUUCUGUUGAGGUUUUGGUAAAAGUUCUUUGGAAUAGGACAUCAUAGAGGGUGAGAAUCCCGUAUUUGACCUUUACUUUCAACUUUAUGAUACACUUUCAAAGAGUCGGAUUGUUUGGGAAUGCAGUCCAAAAUGGGUGGUAAAUUUCAUCUAAAGCUAAAUAUUGGCGAGGAGACCGAUAGCGAACAAGUACCGUGAGGGAAAGAUGAAAAGAACUUUGAAAAGAGAGUUAAACAGUACGUGAAAUUGUCAAAAGGGAAGCGUUUGACACCAGUGUUGUUUUUCUGAAAAUCAAUUAAAGAACUGUUUAUGCUAAGUUGUUUAGACUUUAUCAGCUAACUGUUUAGUUUUGAGCUUUUCUUUAAUGCACUUUUCAGUUAACAAGUCAACAUCAAUUUCUUUUGCUGUAAAAAAGCUUGAGGAAGGUGGCUUGAGAUUCGUCUUAAGUGUUUAUAGCCUCUUGCCUAUGCAGUCGGAGAGAUUGAGGUCUGCAGCGUAGAUCCUUCGGGGCUAAAUGCAUUUGUGCUAAGUUAUAACAUUUUAUAGACAACUUGUUGACUAUGAUUUGUCUUGUAGCUUACUCGCUUAUGUUAUUUUACCUACGCUUAGGAUGUUGAGCGCAUGUCUCUCUCU